UUACGGUCAAAUCACGUUGAAAACACCGGUUCUCGUUCGAUCACCGAAAAUUGUUAAGCAUCGUAGAGCCAGGUCAGUACUUAGAUGGGGGACCGCUUGGGAACACCUGGUACUGUAAGC
rnacentral:rRNA from 1 species